AGAAGACCAGGACAUUUUGAUCUGAUCAGGCAGAAGCUCUCCUACAACGAAUCAAGAAGAAAAUAAUAGAAAAUGGGAUAGUUACAGCCUAUGUCAUCAACUGUUAAAAAAAAAAAAAAAAGUACAAAAUUCAGUACAAACACUAUGGUGAGAUCAUCUCUUUUUCCUGUGAGCAGAAAGAACAAUACCCCUGCAAGAAGGAUCACAUGACUCCACCUCUACUGAUCCUAUCUGCAUAAGAUGCAGGAAGUCCAUGGAGAGAUGUUGUAGGAGUGGAGGACAAACUUAAAAGACCAGCAUGGCAGAGAGAAAACAAAAAGGAUUCAUCCUGUUAGAGUUUUGGCUUGACAGUCUACUGAAAGAUGUUUUUUGUUUGUUAACCUUUCUUACUCCUGCCUCUUCUCUAGAAGUUUCCUUUUCUCAGAUGCCUCCUAGAGCAAGGCUACAGCAGAGAGUUAUUUUGAACAUAGAGCUAAAUGCAAAAAAAAAAAAAAAAAGUGCAAGUAAGUUCAUCUUUGGAUGCAUACAUUUACUAAGUAAGUACAGGAUGUUUAGCAUCUUUCCCUUUGGCUUUAUUUAUAAGACAUUCAUUCUCUCUCCACAGGUGAAUGAAAACCAAUAGGCUCACACAACCUGUUUACAAAUAUGUCCUGUUUUUAUCUAUGAUUACUUCACAGCACUGCUGUGUUUCUCUGAUGUGCUGGGCUUCAGUCGCAGUCCUGAUAUAAGCAAUGUGUUACUUUCCCAACCAAAGAAAAUGUAAUUUAAACAAGCUUGUCAAUGGUGGGGCCCAGCAGGCAGGUGAAGCAAGGAAUCCAAAGGAGGGUCAGGUUCCCUGGAAUUUCUCUGCUACCACAGAAGAUUAGAAGAUAAUGCUUCUCAUUUGGAAGAAACAAACAAAAUCUGGAAAUGUAAUGCAUCCUCAAAAGUUUAUAGUGAGAAGGAGGUAUUAGCUUGACAUCAAACUAGUGCCAGUAAUAAAGCUGUGUGAAAGUGAUGUGUUUCA
rnacentral:lncRNA from 1 species